rnacentral:lncRNA from 1 species
UCCCUUCUACAGAUGAGGAAAUUGAAGUUGAGAGAGAUUAAGCAGUUUGAACACGAUAACAAUGCUAGUUAAGUGAUGCAGUGGGAUUCGAACAGGGUUCUGUGACUUCAGAGACUAUCUUUGUAAUUACUACAUUUUGAAUUGUCAUUAAAUACAUAACAGGCAUCACCUCGUCUACCUGGAAUCAAUAAUGUACACUCUAAGAAUUUAGCUGAGAAGAGUAAGGAGAACAUAAAAGGAUGCAACAUGUCAAAAGUUUAAGGGCUAAAGUGUAAGUAAUACUUUACACAGGAAAUAUUCUUAAAUUCUCCUUCAAUAUUCGUAUACUCUUUCCUUACAGUGUUAACUUGCUUGGUUAUCUCAACAUCAAGUUUACAAAACAGAAGCAACAGGGAAGGUUUCACUUCCCCAUGGGCCUGCCAUAUAUUCCAGCUUCUUCCACAAUAUAUGCCACAAGUUAUACCAACAACACACACUGAACCAGUCAACGUG